UACGUAGGGGGCAAGCGUUGUCCGGAAUUAUUGGGCGUAAAGCGCGCGCAGGCGGUUCAUUAAGUUUGGUGUUUAAGACCUGGGCUCAACCCUGGUUCGCACUGAAAACUGGUGAACUUGAGUGCAGAAGAGGAAAGUGGAAUUCCACGUGUAGCGGUGAAAUGCGUAGAGAUGUGGAGGAACACCAGUGGCGAAGGCGACUUUCUGGGCUGUAACUGACGCUGAGGCGACGAAAGCGUGGGGAGCAAACAGG
rnacentral:rRNA from 1 species